UAGAUAUUCGGAAGAACACCAGUGGCGAAGGAGACUGCCUGGACAAGUAUUGACGUUGAGGUGCGAAAGCGUGGGGAGCAAACAGGAUCAGAUACCCUGGUAGUGCACGCCGUAAUCGAUGAUAACUAGCUGUCCGGGCAUUUGGUGCUUGGGUGGCGCAGCUAACGCAUUAAGUUAUCCGCAUGGGGAGUAUGGUAGCAAGAUUAAAAUUCAAAGGAAUUGACGGGGGCCUGCACAAGCGGUGGAGCAUGUGGUAUAAUUCGAAGCAACGCGCAGAACCUUACCAGCCUUUGACAUCCCGCGCUACCUAGAGAGAUCUAGGGUUCCCUUCGGGGACGCGGUGACAGGUGCUGCAUGGCUGUGGUCAGCUCGUGUCGUGAGAUGCUGGGUUAAGUCCCGCAAUGAGCGCAACCGUCGUCUUUAGUCGCCAUCAUUCAGUUGGGCACUCUAAGGAAACCGCCGGUGAUAAGCCGGAGGAAGGUGGGGAUGACGUCAAGUCCUCAUGGCCGUUUCAGGCUGGGGUACACACGUGAUACAAUGGCGGUGUCAGUUGGCAGCAAACUCGCGUGAUUGAGCUAAUAUCCAAAAGCCGUAUCAGUUAGGAAUUUUUUCUGCAACUCGAGAGCAUGAAGGAGGAAUCUCUAGUAAUCGAGGAUUAGCAGUGCCGCGGCGAAUAUGUUCCCAGGCUUUGUACACGCCGCCCGUCACACCAUGGGAGUUGGUUUCAUCUGAAGGCAGUGCGGUAAGCCGCAAGGGAGGCAGAUGACCUCGGUGGGAUCAGAGAGUGGGGUGAAGUCGUAACAAGGUAUCCA
rnacentral:rRNA from 1 species